UACAGAGGUCCCAAGCGUUGUUCGGAUUCACUGGGCGUAAAGGGUGCGUAGGUGGUGAGGUAAGUCGGAUGUGAAACCUCCGAGCUCAACUCGGAAAUGGCAUUGGAAACUACCUUGCUCGAGGGUUGGAGGGGGGACUGGAAUGCUUGGUGUAGCAGUGAAAUGCGUAGAUAUCAAGCGGAACACCAGUGGCGAAGGCGAGUCCCUGGACAACUCCUGACACUGAGGCACGAAAGCUAGGGGAGCAAACAGG
rnacentral:rRNA from 1 species